GUUCAAACAUUUAAAAUGUGAGACUGUGGACGGCUCAGUAAAUCAGUCCCUAAUCUGCUCGAUUGUCAAGGUUAUUGGAUAACCGUGGGAAAUCUAGAGCUAAUACAUGCAGUGUGUAGGGGCAACUCUACGGCAUUUAUUAGAGCAUUACCAAUUGAAUGAGUGUAACAGCUUAUUCAGGUUGAAUCUAGAUAACUAUGCAGACCGUAUGGCCUUGUGCUGACGGCGUUUCGAUUGAAUUUCUGCUUUAUCAGCUUGGCGCACGCUUAGUAUGCAUGCGUGGCUUUGACGAAUACGGGAAAUCGGGGUUUGAUUCCGGAGAGGGAGCCUGAGAAACGGCUACCACAUCCAAGGAAGGCAGCAGGCGCGAAAAUUACCCAAUCCAGACAAUGGGAGGUGGUGACGAAAAGUACCGAAUCUGACCCUAUGGGUGAGAGUUUGGAAUGGACGAUAUGUAAAAUUUAUCGAGAAUUCAACUGGAGGGCAAGUCUGGUGCCAGCAGCCGCGGUAAUUCCAGCUCCAGUAGCGUAUCGCAAAGUUGCUGCGCUUAAAACGUUCGUAGUUGGAUCACAGUCUGUGUGUGAGUGGGUUGUAAUUGCGUGCAUUUAACUGACUGUGUGGACGCUGCUGCGAACACCGGUCAGGAGUACGUUUAUAAUUGCAAUCGUAAGCUCACGCACAGUAAUUGCACGCGAGGAUGACUGUUGACCUUUGGUGUGUUGACAGUGGUGUCUCGCGGGGUGUGCCUUGAGUAAAUCAGAGUGCUUAAAGCAGGCGUUACGCUUGAAUGUUGAUAGCAUGGAACGAACAAUAGUGUAUGGUGUGUGUUGGUUUUGGUGUGCAUCAGUUUCGGCUGUUCACACUGCAACACACGACACCGACCACCAAUUACGGAUGUUGGUUCCGUAUUGGGGUACUGAUUAAGAGGAGCGGUUGGGGGCAUUGGUAUUCGGCAGCGAGAGGUGAAAUUCUUAGACCUGCAGAGGACUAACAAAUGCGAAGGCAUCUGUCCAGACCGUAUCCAUUGAUCAAGAGCGAAAGUGCGGGGAUCGAAGAAGAUCAGAUACCUUCCUAGUCCGCACCCUAAACUAUGCCAACUCGGGAUCAGUUUGGAGUAAUAUAUCCACGCUCGAGAUUGGUCCCCCUGGGAAACCUAAAGUCUUUCGGUUGCGGGGGGAGUAUGGUCGCAAGGCUGAAACUUAAAGGAAUUGACGGAAGGGCACCACCAGGGGUGGAGCCUGCGGCUUAAUUUGACUCAACACGGGAAAACUUACCUGGUCCGGACAUUGAAAGGAAUCACUGGCUGAAGCUCAUUGAUAAUACAAUGGCAAGUGGUGCAUGGCCGUUCUUAGUACGUGAAGUGAUUUGUUGUCUCGAUUGACUAAACGUGCGAGAUUUCAGUCUCCAUUUGACGAGUCAGGGAGGGCGUCGAUUCAGUUGCAUUUUUGGUAACAGAGAUGCAUCUAGUCGGCGUCGUAGGCAAUAUUGGCGGAGAUUUUGGAGAGUACGAGUGGUUUCGGUCACUUGUGCUUGAAGCAGUCUCAAUGUUGGUAUUCCCCCUGGCCUUGCAGAGUGUCGUUCGCAAGAGCGAUGUUUUGUAUCAUGGAGAGACGUCGGAAUAUAUACCAAAUCCGAGAAAGUGAAGCCAUAACAGGUCUGUGAUGCCCUUAGAUGUUCAGGGCUGCACGCGCGCUACAAUGGUAAUGACAACGAGUGUCUGCAUCGAAAGAUGUGGGUAAACUUGUAAUCAUUACCGUGAAGGGGAUUGAUGUUUGUAAUUACGUCAUGAAAGAGGAAUCCCUAGUAGAUGUGAUUCAUGAGAUCGCAUCGAUUAAGUCCCUGCCCUUUGUACACACCGCCCGUCGCUACUACCGAGUGAAUAGUGUCAUAAUGCCUUGGGAGCGGACGCCUAUUUAGUGUCAUGCUAGAUGGAUGCUGCAAUCA
rnacentral:rRNA from 1 species